GUUGUGAAGAUUUGCAGGCUACUUUGGCAGUUUUAUCGUUAGUCAUUGAUUCCUCAGUGUGACCUCGUGUCUGGAAGAGCUCUUUAAAGCCAGCCAGGUCUUCUAGAGCCUGGGCCUUUUCCUUAGGAGUCUGUAGCUGUCUUUUGCUGCCAGGUAAAGUUCCUGCCAGGUCCAGUUUCUGCACUGGAGUUCCCAUAAAUGCUUUAAU
rnacentral:lncRNA from 1 species